rnacentral:piRNA from 1 species
AAUGGAGAAUGCAGGGACGGCUCCC